UACGUAGGGGGCAAGCGUUGUCCGGAUUUAUUGGGCGUAAAGAGCGUGUAGGCGGUUUUACAGGUCCGCUGUGAAAACUCGAGGCUCAACCUCGAGCUGUCGGUGGAAACCAUAAGGCUAGAGUCCGGAAGAGGAGAGUGGAAUUCCUGGUGUAGCGGUGAAAUGCGCAGAUAUCAGGAAGAACACCCGUGGCGAAGGCGGCUCUCUGGGACGGUACUGACGCUGAGACGCGAAAGCGUGGGGAGCGAACAGG
rnacentral:rRNA from 1 species